GGAAAACUUACCAGGUCAAAACUAUGGCGGGAUUGACAGAUUGAUAGCUCUUUCUUGAUUCGUGGGGUGGUGGUGCAUGGCCGUUCUUAGUUGGUGGAGUGAUUUGGCUUAAUUUGACUCAACACGGGAAAUCUCACCAGGCCCGGACACUGGAAGGAUUGACAGAUUGAUAGCUCUUUCUUGUUAGCAAUAA
rnacentral:rRNA from 1 species